rnacentral:other from 1 species
CAGGCUCGAGCUUGUACGCGAGCCGCCCAUAUCGUGAACCAACACAUACGCCUUGGGAGUCAUCGUCCGGUAGCGCUCUGCGAGUAGCGCCGGCAGACACCCACCUGUUUUCUCAGGUUCGCAGGCGGGGCGGUAACGGCAAGCUGGAGCCGCU